rnacentral:SRP_RNA from 1 species
GCCGAUCAAAGAUCACGAUGCUAGAGUCGCUCGAGGCUAGCGAAGAGCUUGAGGCCGCCACAAAGGCCGCCGCUAUGAUUGCCCGAGUGUGGCGAGCAAAGGUGGCUCGCAAAAAAGUGGCAGGGCUCAGGCUGGAAAAGAAGCAAGCGAAGGAAGCUGCGGC